UACGAAGGGGGCUAGCGUUGUUCGGAAUCACUGGGCGUAAAGGGCGCGUAGGCGGCUUGAUAAGUCGGGGGUGAAAGCCUGUGGCUCAACCACAGAAUUGCCUUCGAUACUGUCGGGCUUGAGACCGGAAGAGGUAAGUGGAACUGCGAGUGUAGAGGUGAAAUUCGUAGAUAUUCGCAAGAACACCAGUGGCGAAGGCGGCUUACUGGUCCGGUUCUGACGCUGAGGCGGCGAAAAGCAGUGGGGAGCAAACAGG
rnacentral:rRNA from 1 species